rfam:Tribolium castaneum strain Georgia GA2 linkage group LG5, whole genome shotgun sequence.
ACCCUGGGGUGGAAAGUUGUACCGCUGAUGGUGAUUUUUCUACACAUAAGCGUAUAGCUUUUCCCCUUUGGUU